CAAUAGCGUAUAUUAAAGUUGUUGCGGUAAAAAAGCUCGUAGUUGGAUUUCUACCGAAGAUAGCCGGUCGGGUCUUCGCCCUUGUAUCUGGUUUUGUCUUUGGUAUCCUCAUAGGGAACGUUUCUGCGCUUUAUUGCGUGGUGCGGUAUCUAUGACUUUUACUUUGAGGAAAUUAGAGUGUUCACGGCAGGCAAACGCCUUGAAUAUAUUAGCAUGGAAUAAUAACAUAGGAUCUUCGUCCUAUUUUGUUGGUUUCUAGGGCUAAGAUAAUGAUUAAUAGGGAUAAUUGGGGGCAUCUGUAUCAACGCGUCAGAGGUGGAAUUCUUGGAUUGCGUUGCGACAAACUACUGCGAAAGCAUUUGCCAAGGAUGUUUUCAUUGA
rnacentral:rRNA from 1 species